rnacentral:lncRNA from 13 species
GCAGUUUCCGGACACCUUCCAAACUCAGAUUCUGCCUCUUGGGAUGACUGCUUGAUUAAUGAGCUCCCAUUCAUAAAGCUUUCUGAUGAGGAAUUCGCGCCAUGGCUGUAAGUGGUGGGAGUGUGGUGGCACCAACUCGGCUCAUGGCAACCUCUACCCUCUGGAUUCAAGCAAUUCUCCUGUCUCAGCCUCCCGAGUAGCUGGGAUUACAGGUAUGUGCCACCACACCCCGCUAGUUUUGUAUUUUUAGUAGAGAUGGGGUUUCUCCAUGUUGGUCAGGCUGGUCUUGAACUCCCGACCUCAGGUGAUCCAUCUGCCUCAGCCUCCCAGAGAGCUGUGAUUACAGAUGUGAGCCAACACACCCAGCCUCCAAUUCUAUUCUUUAUCUUUAUUUAGGUCAGAUCUUCCCCAUUUCUAGUCCUACCUAAUUUGCACCACUUUCCUCCUUGCGUGUUGUACUCCUGACUCACUGAAAUACCUUUUAUUUUCUCAGGGUUUGUCUAUGUCCUUUGUACUUUGUCCACAAUUAUCCCUCUGCUAGAAUGACCAACAGUACCCCAUGGUUCUGAGCAUGGAUCUUCUAUUCCAGAAAUUGUUUCUGCAGUUUUCCUCCCUUGUUGGAUUGUGUGUCUAUUUUUGGGUUUGUUUAGAGUCCCUGCUUUAUUAUAUAUCACUAACCACAAUAUGCAGUAAUUGCUUAUAUGUGUCUCUGCUUUCUUUGAAAGAUCUUAAUCUCCUUAAGGGAAGUAAUUACCACCACCUUGUGAACAGAUUCUUGUUCCCAAAGUUACACUUGAGUGUGCUUCACUUCCUAAAGCAGUUCUGAAG